rnacentral:lncRNA from 1 species
CGGAAUGCACACAAUGAGAUCCUUGAAGAGCCACAUCACUGUCCCCUCCAGAAAGUAUGAGGAUGUGGGGGAAGGAUGGUGGCAGAACACUGGAGGACACCUGGGGCCCAUGGGACACACACCCGAUUUCUCUUCCCUCCUUGACAGUACACUCGGCUGCAGACUCCCUCCUCCUUCCCCACUCUGGCCACCCUGAAAGAAGAAGGACAGCGUAAGGCCUGGGCCUCCUUUGACCCUAAGGCCCUUCUGCCCCUCCCGGAGGCCUCCUACCUGCCCAGCUGCCAACUCAAUCGCCGCCUGGCUUGGUCCUGGCUCUGUCUGCUGCCCUCUGCCUUCUGCCCAGCCCAGGUUUUACUUGGGGUUCUGGUGGCUUCAUCUCAUAAAGGUUGUCUGCAACUUCGGGACCAAAGUGGUUCCCUGCCCUGCCUGCUCCUGGCCAAGCACUCUCAACCCCUCAGUGACCCACGGC